rnacentral:rRNA from 1 species
UCUACGGGGUGCUGCAGUGGGGGAUAUUGCACAAUGGGGGGAACCCUGAUGCAGCGACGCCGCAUGGGUGAAGGAGUGCUUCGGCAUGUAAAGCUCUAUCGGCAGGGAAGAAGCAAGACGGUACCUGACUAAGAAGCCCCGGCUAACUACGUGCCAGCAGCCGCGGUAAUACGUAGGGGGCGAGCGUUAUCCGGAUUCACUGGGCGGAAAGGGAGCGUAGACGGCCAUGCAAGCCAGGGGUGAAAGCCCGGGGCCCAACCCCGGGACUGCCCGUGGAACUGCAUGGUUGGAGGGCGGGAGGGGCAGGCGGAAUUCCUGGGGUAGCGGUGAAAUGCGUAGAUAUCAGGAGGA